rnacentral:rRNA from 1 species
AUUGAACGCUGGCGGCAGGCCUAACACAUGCAAGUCGAGCGAGCGGCGGGGGGGGGAGAGAUGCCUGGGAGUUGCCCAGGCGAGGGGGAUAAAAGGGGGAAAAGACCGCUAAUCCCCCAUCAGAUCGGAGUGCGCAGGUGGGAUUAGCUAGUUGGUGGGGUAAUGGCUCACCAAGGCGAAGAUCCCUAGCUGGUCUGAGAGGAUGAUCAGCCACACUGGAACUGAGACACGGUCCAGACUCCUACGGGAGGCAGCAGUGGGGAAUAUUGCACAAUGGGGGAAACCCUGAUGCAGCCAUGCCGCGUGUGUGAAGAAGGCCUUCGGGUUGUAAAGCACUUUCAGCGAGGAGGCGUUACUCGCAGAAGAAGCACCGGCUAACUCCGUGCCAGCAGCCGCGGUAAUAC